UAUAAUUAUCUCUCUUUUUUAGAACUCAGUUUGUAUGGUUAAAAUAGUUUUACGAUUAUAUUUAGUGUAUUGUAAUUCUGUCGACUACAAUAAGGAACAUAUUAUUCAUGUCCUUCCAAUGGUAUAAGCACUAAUUUAGUAUGUGUACGAAAAGCAUAUAAAUUAUGAGUAAUUAAUUAGGCAAAUUUUGUGAUUCAGGGUCCACCUAAUUUCUUGGGAUCCACCGUCAUAUACCAAUUUAAGAAGACAUUCCAUGUUGAUAAGGUACUACUUUGUCGAUGGACUCAAGGACUUCAGAAGAAGCCUCGGCCAUGAAGGUGUUAUGGUCAGUUUUGUUGCACCUGAGUUUUGAUAUCCAUUUCAUGCCACCAUUGCAUAUACAAACAUGUGCAAGACCUCCCACAACCAGUAUAACUUAUGUCUUUAUUGUUGAUGUUACCCACCUUUUGAUCUCACGUCCUUCACCCUUGUUCCUGCCACCCAAUGCAAGCAAUUUGGUUGAUGCAUUAACACAAUAUAUGACUGUCCAACGUAGUAGUGGUCGUCGUCACAUAUGGAGGAUCUCCAUGCAUAAUGGGCUAUGAUGUCUGGUUGAGCCUUGGUACCGAUUCUUAACGGACAAUGACUUGAUGGCUGGAGAUGAGAUCGUGUUAUAUUAUCGGGCUAAGCAACAUGUAUGGGAAGUCAUCUUGAGGAAGCAGCUCAUAUGGGACGAAGACGAGUCCAGUUGAAUAUUCCAGUCCACAGUCCAAUAACUUUUGUUGACAGUUGUUUGUUCAUGAAAAAAUUAUGUAACAUUAAUUUGUAAGCCAAUCGUGUAAGUUAAUUACCUUCGGGUAUUAGACAAUAUUUAAUUUCAUAUUUACUUUAUUUUCAUCAACGUUAAUGAAGUAUAUGUUUCCAUGAUA